rnacentral:rRNA from 1 species
UACAGAGGGUGCAAGCGUUGUUCGGAUUUACUGGGCGUAAAGGGCGUGUAGGCGGAAAUGCAAGCCGAUGGUGAAAUCCCCGGGCUUAACCCUGGGCGGUCUGUCGGAACUGCAUAUCUAGAGAAAGUCAGAGGCAGGUGGAAUUCCAGGUGUAGAGGUGAAAUUCGUAGAGAUCUGGAGGAACACCGGCGGCGAAGGCGGCCUGCUGGGGCUUUUCUGACGCUGAGGCGCGAAAGCGUGGGUAGCAAACAGG